AAGGAGACUUAUUGCCCGGCGCAACACGAUUUUGAAAGUCGUUAGAAAAGGUUCGACUCCUU
rnacentral:tRNA from 1 species